AGAAGAGAGGAAAUAAGGUUACAUUCUCCAAUAUGUGCAAAAGCUAUCUCCUAUGAGAGCACUAUGAUGGUAGACAACAUUAUGAUCUCUGAUGGGAUAAGUCAGCAGAAUGUGAACCUCACAUAAAUAUCAGAUUGCUGCAAAGAGAGAUAAAACCUUGUGUUGCAGAAUGCAGCUUUGCUUGCCUCAGAUUGUUUUCCAAACACAGAAUCUUUUAUUGGUACUACUAUCAUUGCCUGUUUCUGCAAGAAUGUGACCUACACCUCCAAAUCUCACCAUUGUCAAGCAGGAACAACAAGAGUUGACCUCUUUUCUGCUGAGAUCAAGCCAGGAUUUUCUGAGCUAAAAUAUAUCAAGACAGUAUGGAAAGUGCAGAGUAGUCCUGUGGGCCAGACAGGAACUUUGUUAUUUUAGUGCCUGAACAAGGAAUCAAGAGCUUUCAUAGCACAGCUCUUUUGUAAAGAUAACAACUGAGAUGACAAUGCAUAGCAGUUCCCACUGCUCCCAGUUCCAGGAGAGCUUCAUUGUUCUGGAGGAAUGCUGCAUAGCUUCAGAAUGAAAUAAAAAACUGAUAAUACACAAGGACGCUAAAAGACAUUGUUUGGGAGCAGGUAUGAAGGGGAAGAUUGUGUGCAGUAAGACUUUGCCUGCUUGUCAUUCUUGUGGCAGAACAGUAAGUAGUGAAUAAAGUAUGGUAAGUAAAGGGGUAUCAGGUUCUGCUGAGGAGAGCAGAAGGUGCAAUUUCUGCAUGAAGAACCUUAGGCAUGCUGGAGUCUCAUUAGAACCACAGAGUUGAAGGUUUCAAGCUACCUGGAAGCACUCACCUCAAAAGUGAGAGGCAUGUCUUCUGCUUCACCUCUUUCAAAGAGACAUUGAGCCGUUCUCUGCCUCCCUGACGGCUGUGCAAAAAAAUGAUAAGCACUUGGUUGUACCAUGGUGUAAUUUUUUCACUCCUUUCUGAUGAAGCUGUUUUACUGUAUAAAAAUCACCUACAUAGGAAGGGUGCAGGCUAGAAACUGAUCUGAGCACAGGGUAGGAAGGUCUAAGGCAGACAAGUUAGAGUAGACCUCAUGUCUAAAGCUAGAUAUGGGGGUCCCUAAUGCAAGCAAACUUCAGGCCCCCAAAACUGGUACUUACUGCAAAGAAAUAUUCUGUCAGAGCUGCCAUAUUCACUGAUCACUCUUCCACUGAAAUCCACUGAAACUGUGUCUGACAGAAACAGGAAGUAAUUAAUUUAUUAGGAAACAGAACAAUUUUUCUGUGACACUUUGUCUUCUCACUUCUCUCAUGAAAAAUCCCUAAAAUCUUGUUAUUUUCUAAACACCAUAGUACCCGUAUUUGAAAAAAACAUGGCGCUUUGUCGUGUGAAUAUUAUAGACAGAGAAGACUAAUUUCACAGAAUUUUCUUCUGCUAGUUAUUGAGGAAUGUGUAGCUCCAGGCACCAGCUUUCUAGGAUGGGAUAGAUCUGUUAUCUCUAAUGCCACAGCAUGACUUUAAGGUUUGCCUGAGUCAAUAAAAUCAGUGUUCUAAAGGCCAGGAAAUAAAAUCUUUAUGGGACGGCAUCAGCUCCAUCAUCUUCCACAACACAAAACUGACAUUUGAUAAAGCGAUUUCUUAACCCUGAGAAGGUUAAUGGUUGUAAAAAGAAACACUAUUAAAAGUAUGUUAAAAGAUCCCUGUGUUAAUCAGUACCAAAAAAUGUCGAUUAAAACCAUGUUCUACAACCCAAUAUGCCCUCCAGUAUUUGAACUAUUUGUUUACAUCUUAUGUCUGUCUGAACAAUAAAACCACUUUUCUUCCAA